CGGCUCGGCGGCUGAGAGCGAUCUCUGGAGCGCUGGAAGGGUGUGUUCGCGCGCUGGCGCUCCAGGGUUAAGUCCGUGGCUCUGGCGCUGUGAAUCUGAAUCUGAGCCUCGGCUCCUCCGCUCACUAGCAGUGUGACCAUGGGUGCCAAGUCCACUGCCUCGCCCUGUUGGUGCUCAGUGGAUGUUAGAUGGAUGGAGGGAUUUUAUAAAUUGUGAAUACCGGGCAUUUAAUAAAUGUUUUCUGAAUU